rnacentral:rRNA from 1 species
UGGGGAAUAUUGGACAAUGGGCGAAAGCCUGAUCCAGCCAUGCCGCGUGUGUGAAGAAGGUCUUCGGAUUGUAAAGCACUUUAAGUUGGGAGGAAGGGCAUUAACCUAAUACGUUAGUGUUUUGACGUUACCGACAGAAUAAGCACCGGCUAACUCUGUGCCAGCAGCCGCGGUAAUACAGAGGGUGCAAGCGUUAAUCGGAAUUACUGGGCGUAAAGCGCGCGUAGGUGGUUUGUUAAGUUGGAAGUGAAAUCCCCGGGCUCAACCUGGGAACUGCAUUCAAAACUGACUGACUAGAGUAUGGUAGAGGGUGGUGGAAUUUCCUGUGUAGCGGUGAAAUGCGUAGAUAUAGGAAGGAACACCAGUGGCGAAGGCGACCACCUGGACUAAUACUGACACUGAGGUGCGAAAGCGUGGGGAGCAAACA